GACGAACGCUGGCGGCGUGCUUAACACAUGCAAGUCGAGCGGUAAGGCCCUUCGGGUACGACGAGCGGCGAACGGGUGAGUAACACGUGGGUGACCUGCCCUUAGCUCUGGGAUAAGCCUGGGAAACGUGGGUCUAAUACCGGAUAUGACCUCAUGACGCAUGUUGUGGGGUGGAAAGCCUUGUGCGGCUAGGGAUGGGCCCGCGGCCUAUCAGCUUGUUGGUGGGGUGAUGGCCUACCAAGGCGACGACGGGUAGCCGGCCUGAGAGGGCGACCGGCCACACUGGGACUGAGACACGGCCCAGACUCCUACGGGAGGCAGCAGUGGGGAAUCUUGGUCAAUGGGCGCAAGCCUGAACCAGCGAUGCCGCGUGAGUGAUGAAGGCC
rnacentral:rRNA from 1 species